UGAGGAAUAUUGGGCAAUGCCCGCAAGGGUGACCCAGCAACGCCGCGUGGAGGAUGAAUGUCGUAAGAUUGUAAACUCCUGUUAGAGGGGAAGAAUAACUAAGUUUGGUGCUUAGUAUGACUGUACCCUCAGAGAAAGCCCCGGCUAACUACGUGCCAGCAGCCGCUGUAAUACGUAGGGGGCAAGCGUUGUCCGGCUUUACUGGGUGUAAAGGGCGCGCAGGCGGAAUGGAAAGUCAGUGGUGAAAUCCUACAGCUUAACUGUAGAACUGCCUUUGAUACUGUCAGUCUUGAGUUCGGGAGAGAGAGACGGAAUUCCAGGUGUAGUGGUGAAAUACGUAGAUAUCUGGAAGAACACCAGUUGCGAAGGCGGUCUCUUGGUCCGAUACUGACGCUGAGGCGCGAAAGCGUGGGGAGCAAAC
rnacentral:rRNA from 1 species